CUGGUUUUUAAGAGGUUUGAUCACAUUAAAUACACUGUAUUUUUGUAAUUCAAAUAGGCCCUUUAGUACCUAUGUAGGCAUUAUUAAAAUAAAAGUCUUUCCUUUACCCAUAACAAAUUUCCUUUUUGGUGAUCUCCACUUUUAUUAAUUAAACACACACACAUUACUAUUGUUUUAUGCAGCAAUGACAUUGUCUUGAGUAACUAUAUCUAUUGAAUAUAGAACAUUUAACAAGAGAAAUUAUGACAAUUUGGAAGAAUAUUCACUGCCCUUUAUCUUAGGAAAUCUUACACAAAUCUCACUGACUACUGGAAAGAUGUCACCUCCAUACAGGUUAUUGUAUGAGAUUCAACACAUUCUUGCUGAAGGUUAUGCCUGGAACCUUCUCUUCUGAUUUCUGGUGUGUUUCAAGCCAAAAUUUGUCUCAGGAACUUGCAGUAAGUAUUGUUGCUUAAGGUUGAAAUGUGUCCAGAAGAGGUAAUGAAUAAGAAACAGCCCUUUGUUUCCCCUUUUCACAUUAUGUUUUCUUCCUUCCUUCUUUCCUUCCUUUCUCCUUUCCUUCUUUUCUUUCUUCCUUCUUUCCUCUCUUUUUUGAAGAUACUCAAUUGGCUCACUCAGUACCCUUCAUAUCCACCCCAACAUUUCUACCAAUCUAUUCACUAGCUUAAGCCUUCUUGGUAGCAGAGAUAACAUUGUCUUGCAACUAUGACCUGCUGGACUAACAUUUCAAAUGCAAUUCUUAAAUCUUCCUAAGCUACUUAAAAAUUACAAACUCCCUCCUACCUCUCUGUUCCCUCAAUACAUUUUGAUUCAGUGAAGGUAAUCUCUUCACUGUUCCUUGAACAAAAUAAUACAUCUGGUCAUUUUCACUGACUAUUCCUCAUUCCUGGGACACUCUGCUUCUUAUUUGUCUCCUCUUCACUUACUUCUUGACUUCUCUGUGUUUCCCAAAUCUUACUUUAUAUAACUAGCCUUUCUCAAUUGCUCUUAAUCCUGGCAUCUUACUUCUUUGAUUAUUUCCUAUUUAACUCAUAUGAAACUUUUUCUGCACAUAUUUUCUUACAUGUUGUCACCCUAUUAGAUUGUUAUCUCCUUAAAGGCUGAUACUGUAUUUUAGAUUUUGCUUUUUUAAAUAUUUUCAGUGAUUUUCCCAUAAUCCCUGACCCAUAUUAGCACAGUGCCUGUCCCAUAUUAGGCAUUUAAUAAAUUCUUAAUGACAUUGAAUCUAUUGAACA
rnacentral:lncRNA from 1 species